ensembl:lncRNA
AUGUUUUCUGAAGCUUUGUCUUCUAUUUUAUUGUUUAUAGGGCUGCUUGGUCAAGGUGCACUUGGAGCUAAUGGAGGCCGCGAUGGAUUUGGUCAACAAAUACCAGGCGUGUUCUCCUUUGGUGAUAUAAGAUAUCCUCUUAUAUCACAAAGGUCUGGAGGGGCUGGUGGUGUUCCUGGUCUCAGUGGUGGGGUUGGUUUAGGAGGUAUACCAGGUGCAUUUGGUGUUCCAAGUAUGAGUGGCAUACCUGGUGCAGGUGGUGUGCCAGGCAUAAAUGGCAUACCUGGAGCAGGAGGUGUGCCAGGAAUAGGAGCUGUUCCAGGUACAGCUGUAAUACCAGGUGUUGGAGUAAUUCCUGGAGCUGGCGGUGCAACUCCUGGUGUCCUUUAUCCAGGAGCUGGUGGUACCUAUCCUGGGGGAACUGGGGCAAAAGCUCAAAAGUAUGUUUCAGGGAUAGGAACUGGUGGACUUCCUGGUUCUGGAGUGGGUGGUCUUGGAACUGGUGGACUUCCUGGUUCUGGUUUGGGAGUGGGUGGUCUUGGAACUGCAGGACUUCCUGGUUCUGGUUUGGGAAUUGGUGGCCUUGGCACUGGUGGAAUCCCUGGACUUGGUCCUGAAGGAUAUGCUGCAGCCAAAGCAAGAAAAUAUGCCCAUCUUGGACGUCCUGGUGGGACUUUAGGUACUGGAGGAUUGCCAGGUGGAGCAGCUGGUGUGUCUGGUGUUGGACUUGGUGGACUACCUGGUGGAGGUCUUGGGAGUGGUGGACAACCUGGAGGCGGACUUGGAGGGCUACCUGGAGGUGGACUUGGUGGAUUACCUGGUGGAGGAACUGGUGGACUACCUGGUGGUGGAGUUGGUGGUCUUCCUAGCAGUGGUGCUGGAGGACUCCUCGGCUCUGGAAUUGGAUAUGCAGAGGCAAAAGCUCGUAAAUAUGGUCUGCUUGGUGGAGGUGCUGCUUUAGGCCCAGGCACUGGAUUAGCUGCAGGUAUUCCAGGUGUAUUACCAGGCACUGGUGUCAGAAUAGUUGGGGCAGGGGGUAUACCCUGGCAUGGAUUAAUGCACAGGCUUGCAUAGGCUGCAGCCUAGGGGCCCCACGUGUGCAGGGGGCCUCGGAUUGGCCAGACAUUUUUUUUUUACUUAAGCGCGAACCAGGCAUGGCACGGCGCAUCAUUCCAGUUUCCAGUUUGGAUGGGCCAGACAAAUUGUGAAUGUUAAAUUUAAAACGUUAUCCAAUCACUGUUUAACCUAAUAAAAAUUACUGACUAAUAUACUGUUAAAUUAUCUGUGAGUAUACAUAAUAUAGAUUUUAAUAGCUUGAUGCUCUUUAAAUAUUUUGUUGCAUUGUAAAAAGUUUCGGUGCAUAGGACGGACCUAUCCGCAAUCGCUUUCCAUGGUUCUGAUCAAAGAAGAGCGCUUUGGAAUCUCCAUUACCCAUCAUACCUGGGCUGCGUUUCCCGAUAACGCUGUCUCUUAGUGCGCUAUGAAGACUCUUAAGGUAUAACUUAACUAAAGGUAUACUACCACUAAAGGUAUACCAUUGCUAGGUGUCUUCAGGGCUAUCAUCCACUUGCGAGGCAGAGGCGCUCUCCUAGCAACGGCACUGGUCGCGUUAGCACCCUGGGGUGGCAGAGACGAAGAUGUGCUAGGUGAUGUGGAUCUCAGCUCUCUUCAUCUCCUGGUUGCAACGAUGACUCUGAGACUGUACGUGCGCGUUUAAGGUACCUAAACAACGACGGUUGCAACAGGGCUGAGGGCUGGGUUGGAAAAUUUGUGACGUCAUUACGUUNUCCUUUCUAGGUGCUGAUCCACCAUCUGGGCUGGAUACAUACUGGAUCCGGGUGACUGCAGUGACCCUCUGACUUGGAUACAGACUGGAUCUGGUGGCUAUGGUGACCUCGGAAUAAGAGAGAAACAGACUAAUAUGAGCAUAGAUGCCAUUCUUCUAAUGAUGUAGCAAGUACAUUGGGUGUUAUGGGAAGUGUUCCCGGUUCAACUAAUUAGUGCAAUUUUUUUUUUUUUUUUUUUUUUUUUUUUUUUUUUUUUUUUUUUUUUUUUUUUUUUUUUUUUUUUUUUUUUUUUUUUUUUUUUUUUUUUUUUUUUUUUUUUUUUUUUUUUUUUUUUUUUUUUUUUUUUUUUUUUUUUUUUUUUUUUUUUUUUUUUUUUUUUUUUUUUUUUUUUUUUUUUUUUUUUUUUUUUUUUUUUUUUUUUUUUUUUUUUUUUUUUUUUUUUUUUUUUUUUUUUUUUUUUUUUUUUUUUUUUUUUUUUUUUUUUUUUUUUUUUUUUUUUUUUUUUUUUUUUUUUUUUUUUUUUUUUUUUUUUUUUUUUUUUUUUUUUUUUUUUUUUUUUUUUUUUUUUUUUUUUUUUUUUUUUUUUUUUUUUUUUUUUUUUUUUUUUUUUUUUUUUUUUUUUUUUUUUUUUUUUUUUUUUUUUUUUUUUUUUUUUUUUUUUUUUUUUUUUUUUUUUUUUUUUUUUUUUUUUUUUUUUUUUUUUUUUUUUUUUUUUUUUUUUUUUUUUUUUUUUUUUUUUUUUUUUUUUUUUUUUUUUUUUUUUUUUUUUUUUUUUUUUUUUUUUUUUUUUUUUUUUUUUUUUUUUUUUUUUUUUUUUUUUUUUUUUUUUUUUUUUUUUUUUUUUUUUUUUUUUUUUUUUUUUUUUUUUUUUUUUUUUUUUUUUUUUUUUUUUUUUUUUUUUUUUUUUUUUUUUUUUUUUUUUUUUUUUUUUUUUUUUUUUUUUUUUUUUUUUUUUUUUUUUUUUUUUUUUUUUUUUUUUUUUUUUUUUUUUUUUUUUUUUUUUUUUUUUUUUUUUUUUUUUUUUUUUUUUUUUUUUUUUUUUUUUUUUUUUUUUGCAUGAUAAUCCACCCCAUACCUAAUCUUAACUACGUCCUUAUUAACUAUUAAUAAACAGCAAAUGAGGAGUUUAUUGAUGCAGAAAGUCAUAGUUAAUGGCUAGUUAAUAGUAGUAGAA